AUUGAACGCUGGCGGCAGGCCUAACACAUGCAAGUCGAGCGGAUGAAGGGAGCUUGCUCCUGGAUUCAGCGGCGGACGGGUGAGUAAUGCCUAUGAAUCUGCCUGGUAGUGGGGGAUAACGUCCGGAAACGGGCGCUAAUACCGCAUACGUCCUGCGGGAGAAAGUGAGGGAUCUUCGGACCUCACGCUAUCAGAUGAGCCUAGGUCGGAUUAGCUAGUUGGUGGGGUAAAGGCCUACCAAGGCGACGAUCCGUAACUGGUCUGAGAGGAUGAUCAGUCACACUGGAACUGAGACACGGUCCAGACUCCUACGGGAGGCAGCAGUGGGGAAUAUUGGACAAUGGGCGAAAGCCUGAUCCAGCCAUGCCGCGUGUGUGAAGAAGGUCUUCGGAUUGUAAAGCACUUUAAGUUGGGAGGAAGGGCAGUAAGUUAAUACCUUGCUGUUUUGACGUUACCAACAGAAUAAGCACCGGCUAACUUCGUG
rnacentral:rRNA from 1 species